CCAUCCUCGCUGUCUUUCAUUAAAGCACUUAAUCCAAAGUUCCAAACAUUAACUAGAAAAAAGAAAAUAAAAGACAAAAAUAACAAACUAAACCAUUACCAAAAAAAACACACAUCUCCUUCAAAAACCCUCCUCCCUUCUCUCUUCCCUUGUCCAACAACAACAACAACAACAAAGCAAUGUCAGGCUUUGGGUUUCUCUACUACCCUCAUCACUUUCUCUUCUUAGUGUUCUUUCUCACCAUUUUUACGCUCAACCAAGCUCAUGGUUUGGAGGAGCAAAACAGUACAAUGAUGAUGGUACCAGUGAUUGAUAAUCACCAAACAAGAAUGAUGAUGAGUUCAUGGAUGAAGAUGAGUGAAUAUCGUAGAAGAAAACUAAGAAGCUUUAGAAUUUGUGCAGUCUGUACUUGCUGUGGUGGGCUUAAAGGUCUUUGUUUGCCUUCUCCUUGUUGUUAUUCCAUCAACUGCAACAUUCCAAACAGACCUUUUGGUUUUUGUUCGCUUUCUCCUAAAUCUUGUAAUUGUUUUGGUUGUCAUCUCUGAAACAAAAACCAGAAAUUAUUUUGUUUUACUUGAAAAGGGAUUUUAUUGUGAAAUUGUUAUUCUGUAAGGAGUGUGAAUGAAAAUCCAAAAUCAAAAAAGAGAAAGGAUAUUUGUUUCUUUUUGUUAUUGUUUCUUAGUCUCACUUAAGAAACAAACAGUGGGUCUUGUUAAUGAGUGCUUAAUUUUAUAGUAAUCAAAUCUUAGUGAGA